rnacentral:piRNA from 1 species
AGGUGACUCAAAGACAUCUGUGCUGCCA